CAGCACCGCGGUAAUACGUAGGGUGCGAGCGUUAAUCGGAAUUGCUGGGCGUAAAGCGUGCGCAGGCGGUUAUAUAAGACAGAUGUGAAAUCCCCGGGCUCAACCUGGGACCUGCAUUUGUGACUGUAUAGCUAGAGUACGGUAGAGGGGGAUGGAAUUCCGCGUGUAGCAGUGAAAUGCGUAGAUAUGCGGAGGAACACCGAUGGCGAAGGCAAUCCCCUGGACCUGUACUGACGCUCAUGCACGAAAGCGUGGGGAGCAAACAGGAUUAGAUACCCCAGUAGUCCCUGUCUCUUAUACA
rnacentral:rRNA from 1 species